UACCGGAUGGCCAGGGUCCAAGUAAAUGUUGUGAUGACCUCAAAGAUCCAGCGCAGUUUGUGGCUACAAGGUCUGCGGGAGGAUGGCAGUCUGCCAGCCCCCGUACAUCAUCUUCAGGUUGCUGUUUCUGACAGACUCAUGUUAGUUAUUGUAAAUGAGUGACACUGCCUAUAACUCACCUUUAAAUCUCACCUCGUGGGCAUUGGAAGAUCUGCAGAUGCGUGUUUGUGUGCACAAAGGCGCGUGCCCACCUACGCUCACCUGAAAAGUGCUCAUCACCACCUUGACUUACCUCAGCGUGAUUGACGAUAAUUAGGUUUUAGCUGCCUUCUGAUGCAGAAAUACACACCACCACAGUAUGGCUGGUUCUGCCUCUGCGGUUGUACCUCUGAAAGGCUAUCGAUUCACGCUUUUACAUUUUUAAAAGGUCAUGGCAAUAAUUCCACUUGAAUUGUGCUAAGUGAAAAUAGUUUGCAGAGGUAAUAUGGUUCCUGCUUACUUCCAGUGUAAACAAAACGCAUAGGGUUUUAUAUUUUUUUUUUUAGUGUAUAUUAAUUGCAUUUAUUUGCCUGGCUUUUGCAUCAUAUCGAUGAACUACGUGUAAAGUUGUAAGGCAAGUGACCUUCAACAUUAUAUGACUCUUAGUUCUGUGCAGAGAUAUUUUAUUUUUCUAUUAUGUAAGAUAUGCUGGAAGUGCUUAUCAUAAUACAGUGCUCACAUUAAAAAUUAAAAGCAUAAGAAUAAAAAUUGCCUUUUUCCCCUUGUCCUGUCAUAUAUCUGUCCAUUUUAAUAAGACAAAAAUAUCUACAACUCCUCGACUGCGGUAUGAAACGUGCUUACUUUUUGUAAAAUGUUGUCGCAGUUAAAUAAACAGCCCGCUCUGGCUUGACUGAGAACAGAUUGUUCCCAACAGUUCGUUUGACUAACAGGCUAUAUAAUGCAAUGAGUUAACUUAUUAGAAUACAUAGUUACUGCAGCCCAAGUGCCCUAGAAAUAUGACAGGAUGCUAUGGAUGCUAUGGCAUAAAUUAUUUCAAUAGCUGUGCUGCAAUUAGUGACUUUAUAUUCUGUCUGGUUUACAGGACUUACAACCAGGGCUACACUUAAGAAGGAGAAAGAGAGGAUAAGAUUUUUUGUACUGAAUGAACCUUUCCAUCCUCCUAGAGGUUUUUCCCCCUAUGUUUGCUUUGUUUAAAAUUAUUUUACUGUGUCAAUCAUGUUUACAUCAAUAGAGUGCUCAUGUUUUCUACCAGAUUAGUGUUAUGCCUUCAUAUGGAGCUACUGAAGAACAGAGAUGAACUUUCCCACCCUACACCAAUGGCUUUGCUAGGGCCAAGAGCAGUGUAUGUGAGGCCAUAGAAAAGUACUUCCCUCCUAAUCAUCUUUAGCAUUAAUGGCGGGCACUGGUGCUGCCAAAAGAAAGAUGGCAGAAGUCUGGAGCACAUUGGUUGUGUACUUGGUGAACUUCUGCUGCGGAGAAAUGUCAAGGGGGCAGAUGUGGGUUUCAUCAUCUCCUGCCUUUUGGCUUCUGGUGUCAUUAUAUUGAACCAUCAAAUGCAAGAUUUGGCAGAAGUGUCCUGUGAGUGAGUUAAUUUUCCUGGAAUCAUAUGCUGCUGCUGACCUGGCAUAGAAGCUGUGUAUCAGAUGGCCAAUAAGAAAAAGGAGGAUGUAAUUUCGUAUCAUCCCAUAAUGCUCUUCUCCAGAGUGCUAUGGAAGUGGGAAUGGCCUGCAGCUGGUCUAGGGGCACUGAGGCUUUUUUAUCCUUAUCCUGGACACUCCUCAGCAACUUCUUUUUGUGCAAUUAGUGGUGGAGCAGGAGAAUCCUGCGGCAAAUGUGCACUUCCUGCCCAAGGUCCUUCGUCCUCCUCAGUGGGCAUCUCUGCUCUCCGUGUGUUGGUGGGAAAUGUAAAACAACUACUCCAGAUGCCAUGGGUGUAUGGGUGUAUGAGGAGGAGGGCAAAUUGCUAAGAUGGGUCUUUUGCUUUGCCUCUGCCUAACCGUGUGAGUAAAGGGCUUUUGUGGACACUCACCAGCCCGGAGGCAUAGUGUUACACUUUCUUUCUCCUUCAUGGUCCCUUCCUUGGAGCGCAUGUGAGAUGGUGAGGGAUCCAAGGAUUGUCAGAUCCACAUGGUGAUUUCUGUGGAGCUAGUUGGAAAGGGACCCCACAACCACAACAGCACUGAAAUAAAGUGAUAGACUGGCUACAGAGACCAGUCUGCUUCUAGUGAGAUGUCUACUCUGCCUCAAAAGAAGGAAGGCCAUCAUGGGAAGAGAGAUGCCCCAGCCCUGAGAAUAACAGAGCCCUUCUCUCUCCUCUCAGAGGUAGAGUGAAGCUCCUGUGUCCUGCUACGCUGCUGAUCCAGCCCUUGGACACAUACUGUGGCCUGAAGCAACCCUGACUAUCCAAAACUGCCUAUCACAGCCACUCUUCCUGUACUGGGAUACUGAUGACUGCUGCAAAUGCAAAUAGGAAGGUGAAGUAGAGGUCAUGUCAGAAAAUGGCAUUGUCAAGGUCUGUUAAAAGAUAUAUCCAGGUUCUGGCUUGCUUUGAACAAGUCCUUUCAAUAUAUCUUUCCCUCUUCAGCUACUCUGGUGAUCUUGGAGGGAUUUUCCUAACAGCUGCACAUGUUGAUUUUCCACAAUUCACAAGAGUUCCUGUGUUUGGAAGUCAAUAUGCCAACCAUUAAUAUACAGCAUGCUUCUGCUGUGAAUUCAUGAAGUAUCACUGCAAUUAAAUAUCCCUGCUAAUGACAUGAUUUAUUAAUGAAACAAGGUUAAUCUUAAAGCUCUUGAAAAAAAAAAGAAAAUACGGUUGAUUCUCCCUCACAGCAUCAUAAGAUUCACAUUAGAUAUAGAUUUUGAAUGACAUUUAAAAACGUGCCAUGCCAAGGAACCUAGCAGGGACAAUGGUCUUUCUUGCCCUCAUUUGCCCUUUUCCAGACAACUCACACAAACUAAAAAGGGGAAGACAGAUAAACAGCAAAAAAGUUCCACCCCAAAAAAAAAAACCCAACACCAAAACCUCCUGAUAAGAAAAUGUACAGCAGUCUUCCAAAUGCUUUGUUUAGAGUCCUCUCGGUCAGAAUGAAGGUAGCACUGAGAUGUGGAAGCUUUUCCUGUGCAGGCGGAAAGGUUCUUAGAGAAGGCUUAAGAAUACCACUGUAGCAUGUGUCACAGAAGCAGUACCUGCCUCAUACAGUGUAGAAACUCGUUGGUAUGGAGCCCAGAUGGUGGUCUAGUGGUCUUUUUUUGUUCAUUCACAAUAGGUGCCCUCUGAAAAAACUUUGGAAUAAAUAAUAACUCAGCUGAUCAAACAAACAAAAUUGAUGUAACUGGUACCUCAAUGAUAUUUGUAAACCCAAAGAGUUUGCUAUAUGUUAAUGGACCCCACAUGGCUGCAGAAGUUCUUGGUCUAUUUGCUAUAGAUGCUGUUGUUUUAAUUUGUUGUUUUGUUUUUUUUUUUAAUUUUUAUUUUUCUUUACUAAAAUACUCUAAAUGUUUGCUAUUGGAAGAGAGCAACGCUA